GAGACACCCUUCUGGGGCAAGACUUGCUUCAGUGGGGCUUUGAUGCUCACUGAGUCUGCCCCCUGAUUGUGUCCCU
rnacentral:pre_miRNA from 1 species